rnacentral:lncRNA from 1 species
AAUAAUACACAAAGAAUCUCAUGGAUUUCUCCAUUUUCCCAACAUUUUCAACACUUACCCUUAAUUCAAAUAUUUUUUCAAUAACCAAAAAAAGCCUACACAUGGGUGUCACCAAAAACUAGCAGGUCAGCAGCAAAUAUAAAAAAAAAAAACAGCGAAAAGAAAAAGGUCAAAAUUUAAUACAGUUAUUGUACUUGGACAAAGAAAUAGAAUUAAAACAAAGAUAAAAUCAGAAAUUGAUCUAAAUCAAGAGAAACAAGAAGAAACUGAGAAAUCUUGUGUGAUGGUCGUUAGCUUGUGACGAAUGCAGCUGAAGGAUGGUUUUUGUGGGGUUGUCAUGAACGCGAUGAAUGGCUGGUGGCUGAUAGGCCGUUUGCUAACUGCUAAGGGCUGCCGCCUGUGUGUAUGAUGUGAGAGAGGAGCAACUGUCAGUGGUGGAAAUGGAGUGUGCCGAUGAGAGUGAGAGUGUGAGACCCUGAGGGGUGUGAGUGUGUGCUGCUGGAUGUGUUGUGAGAGACGAGAGUGUAUGGAGGAUCCUAAACUUCAUUAAAAUGGCCACAAACUUGAAGUAAUAUAAAGAUAUUAUUUUGAAG